AGAGUUUGAUCAUGGCUCAGGAUGAACGCUAGCGGCAGGCCUAAUACAUGCAAGUCAAGGGGACCAGCAAUGGUCACCGGCGCACGGGUGCGUAACGCGUACACAACAUGCCCUUAGGUGGGGGAUAGCACUGGGAAACUGGUGGUAACACCCCAUGGUAUCAUUUUUCGGCAUCGGGAGAUGAUUAAAGGCUACGCCUAAGGAUUGGUGUGCGUCCGAUUAGCUUGUUGGCGGGGUAACGGCCCACCAAGGCGAUGAUCGGUAGGGGGUGUGAGAGCAUGGCCCCCCACACGGGUACUGAGACACGGGCCCGACUCGUACGGGAGGCAGCAGUGAGGAAUAUUGGGCAAUGGACGCAAGUGUGACCCAGCCAUGCCGCGUGAAGGAUGAAGGCGUUCUGCGUUGUAAACUUCUUUUAUCUGGGAAGAAACCUGAGUUUUGUAAUUCAGCCGACGGUACCAGAUGAAUAAGCACCGGCUAACUCCGUGCUAGCAGCCGCGGUAAUAC
rnacentral:rRNA from 1 species